rnacentral:lncRNA from 12 species
GCCCAGGCACGAGCCAGGUGAGCAGGACAACUCGGACAACAACACGAUCUUCGUGCAGGGGCUGGGGGAGAACGUCACCAUCGAGUCGGUGGCGGAUUACUUCAAACAGAUCGGCAUCAUCAAGGUGAGGGACACCUGGGACAGGUGAGGGACAGGUGAGGGACAGGUGAGGGGAACACCUGGGGGCACCUGGGACAGGUGAGGGACACCUGGGACAGGUGAGGGGACACCUGAACAUCUGGGACAGGUGAGGGGACACCUGGGG